rnacentral:rRNA from 1 species
UACGAGGGGUGCAAGCGUUAAUCGGAAUUACUGGGCGUAAAGCGUGCGUAGGUGGUUUGUUAAGCAAGAUGUGAAAGCCCCGGGCCACUACGGUGAACUGCAUUUUGAACUGGCAAACUAGAGUAUUGUAGAGGGUAGUGGAAUUUCCAGUGUAGCGGUGAAAUGCGUAGAGAUUGGAAGGAACAUCAGUGGCGAAGGCG